rnacentral:rRNA from 1 species
CUAUCAUGCAGUAGACGCACAGUAUAUACCGUAGCUUGCUACACCAUAGACUGUGAGUUGCGAACGGGUGAGUAACGCGUAGGUAACCUGCCUGGUAGCGGGGGAUAACUAUUGGAAACGAUAGCUAAUACCGCAUAAUAUUAAUUAUUGCAUGAUAAUUGAUUGAAAGAUGCAACUGCAUCACUACCAGAUGGACCUGCGUUGUAUUAGCUAGUAGGUGAGGUAACGGCUCACCUAGGCGACGAUACAUAGCCGACCUGAGAGGGUGAUCGGCCACACUGGGACUGAGACACGGCCCAGACUCCUACGGGAGGCAGCAGUAGGGAAUCUUCGGCAAUGGACGAAAGUCUGACCGAGCAACGCCGCGUGAGUGAAGAAGGUUUUCGGAUCGUAAAGCUCUGUUGUAAGAGAAGAACGGGUGUGAGAGUGGAAAGUUCACACUGUGACGGUAUCUUACCAGAAAGGGACGGCUAACUACGUGCCAGCAGCCGCGGUAAUACGUAGGUCCCGAGCGUUGUCCGGAUUUAUUGGGCGUAAAGCGAGCGCAGGCGGUUAGAUAAGUCUGAAGUUAAAGGCUGUGGCUUAACCAUAGUACGCUUUGGAAACUGUUUAACUUGAGUGCAGAAGGGGAGAGUGGAAUUCCAAUGCGUAGAUAUAUGGAGGAACACCGGUGGCGAAAGCGGCUCUCUGGUCUGUAACUGACGCUGAGGCUCGAAAGCGUGGGGAGCGAACAGGAUUAGAUACCUGGUAGUCCACGCCGUAAACGAUGAGUGCUAGGUGUUAGGCCCUUUCCGGGGCUUAGUGCCGCAGCUAACGCAUUAAGCACUCCGCCUGGGGAGUACGACCGCAAGGUUGAAACUCAAAGGAAUUGACGGGGGCCCGCACAAGCGGUGGAGCAUGUGGUUUAAUUCGAAGCAACGCGAAGAACCUUACCAGGUCUUGACAUCCCGAUGCCCGCUCUAGAGAUAGAGUUUUACUUCGGUACAUCGGUGACAGGUGGUGCAUGGUUGUCGUCAGCUCGUGUCGUGAGAUGUUGGGUUAAGUCCCGCAACGAGCGCAACCCUUAUUGUUAGUUGCCAUCAUUCAGUUGGGCACUCUAGCGAGACUGCCGGUAAUAAACCGGAGGAAGGUGGGGAUGACGUCAAAUCAUCAUGCCCCUUAUGACCUGGGCUACACACGUGCUACAAUGGCUGGUACAACGAGUCGCAAGUCGGUGACGGCAAGCUAAUCUCUUAAAGCCAGUCUCAGUUCGGAUUGUAGGCUGCAACUCGCCUACAUGAAGUCGGAAUCGCUAGUAAUCGCGGAUCAGCACGCCGCGGUGAAUACGUUCCCGGGCCUUGUACACACCGCCCGUCACACCACGAGAGUUUGUAACACCCGAAGUCGGUGAGGUAACCUUAGGAGCCAGCCGCUAAG